rnacentral:rRNA from 1 species
UACAACGGGGUGGCGACACGGUGACGUGGGGCGGAUCCCUGAAAACCGGUCUCAGUUCGGAUCGCAGUCUGCAACUCGACUGCGUGAAGGUGGAGUCGCUAGUAAUCGCGGAUCAGCAACGCCGCGGUGAAUGCGUUCCCGGGCCUUGUACACACCGCCCGUCAAGUCAUGAAAGUGGGCAGCACCCGAAGACGGUGGCCUAACCCUUGUGGGGGGAGCCGUCUAAGGUGAGGCUCGUGAUUGGGACUAAGUCGUAACAAGGUAGC